UACGAAGGGGGCUAGCGUUGCUCGGAAUCACUGGGCGUAAAGCGCACGUAGGCGGACUCUUAAGUCGGGGGUGAAAUCCUGGAGCUCAACUCCAGAACUGCCUUCGAUACUGGGAGUCUUGAGUUCGGGGAGAGGUGAGUGGAACUGCGAGUGUAGAGGUGAAAUUCGUAGAUAUUCGCAAGAACACCAGUGGCGAAGGCGGCUCACUGGCCCGAUACUGACGCUGAGGUGCGAAAGCGUGGGGAGCAACAGGG
rnacentral:rRNA from 1 species